rnacentral:lncRNA from 1 species
AAGAAGGAAAAAUCCUAAAACAGCAACCAAUUCAUGAUCAAAGUCAAGCUAUUUCAACAACAAAGGGAUCCCAAUUGGUCCCAUAUCCAAAAUAUGUACACAUUUCAAUCUAUGCAACAUGUAAGGCAAAGUGAACAACCAUGGAUCAUAUAAGAGCAACCAGCAAGAUCAAAUCCAAAAAAAUAUCAAAACAACACAGUAAAUUCCACAAAAAUUAUAUCCUAAACAGGGGACAUUCAACUAGCUACAUGUCAAUUUUUAUGCCAUUUG